ACGCAGCACUGUGAUGCCUUAGAUUACUGGGGUAGCGGGACCAGACUCACAGUCACUUCAGAAGCGCCUGUCCCUCCAGCUUUGGUGCCAAUGGUUUGGUUUAAUUCUGCCUCUAGAGAUAAAGUCACCCUUAGCUGCCUGGCUCUUGACUUCUACCCUCAGAGUCUUUCUUUUGAGUGGAGCGAUGCGAGUGGAGCACAACUGGAUUCUGUGCGCUAUCCCGCAGUAGGGACAAACAACAGAUUCACUGAAGUCAGUUUGGUUCAAGUUUCCAGACCAGAAGCAAAUUUAAAGUCUUAUCAGUGUUCAGUGACUCAUCCUGGCGGCACCAAGACUGUGAAUGUAAAAAAGGCCAUGUGCCCCCCGCAACUGACUUUGCUGUCAGAGACAACUGGAGCUGGUCAGACACUUGUGUGCACCGUUGAGGAUCUCUCUUCUGAAAGUCUGUCAAUCAAGUGGAAAAAGAAUGGCAACGAGGUGUACGGACACAACGACUGGCUUCCCAAACAACUCGGGGACUCAUAUUCAGCCGUCAGCGUCCUGAAGGUGAAAAGCUCGGACUGGGACACUGAAGCUGUCUACUCAUGUGAAGCGACUCACCUUGGAGAAACAUACACAAAGAAAGCUUCUAAAGCUCUUAUCACGGUGACACUGAACCCCCCGAGUCCUAAAAUAAUGUUCAGCAAUGGCCAGGUAGAGUUAGAGUGUAUCAUCUCUGGACAGGACAACGUCAUUGUAUCCGGGACUAAAAUUACCUGGUACAUUAAUGAACAAAAACAUGCGAGCGGUAACCUUGAGGAAGUAACAGCGUUUGAAGGCAGUCAGUACAGUAAACGCAGUAUCGUCACUUAUAACUACUCUGACUGGUGGACCGUGAGCAAAGUGAGAUGUUCUGCUGUGGCAGAAGACAUGGGACCAGUUGUUCGGGAUCUGACUGUCAACAAAGGAGCUGGGACAGAGCCAAAAGUAACGAUCCACAUGCUGCCUGAGAAAGAAACUAGCCAAGAAGCGUCAGCUGAGGUCACUCUAGUGUGUUUGGUUUCCAGUGAUGUGUUUCAGGAUUAUUACAUUGCCUGGACUGAAGAUGUUGGACAAAGCAACUCAGCAUAUUUCGAUGGCAUCACCUUUCCACCAAGAAAGACCCAAAAUAGCUACUCAGUUAUAAGUGUUUAUACCACCACCAAGGAGAAGUGGACGGGAGGCUACAUCUUCUAUUGCAACGUGUGGCCGGCUGGGCGUGAAAAUCGCAUGAAAUCCAUAGGAGUGUCUGAGGCCAUGGACUUCUUCACUUGGAAAUUUGCUCUGAGCUGCGCUGACCACAGAGGCGAUGAAGAUGAAUUCAGCAGCUUGUGGUUCACGGCCUCGUCUUUCUUAUUCCUCUUCAUAUUCACUCUUUCAUACAGCUUGAUGCUCACCUUUUACAAGAAGAGACAAGAGGAGAGGAAUGAGGGACAAAUACAGUAAUCAUCUCUUCUAUUUUACUAACUGAAGGUGAAAAUAUCACAAAGUUCUGUGUUUCC